UUUUGGAAAUGAUGCUAAAAACAGAUUAUCAGAGGCACAAGCUCUGCUGAUUAUUUGAUUUGCACGUCAGUCUGAUCUCAAA